rnacentral:rRNA from 1 species
GACGAACGCUGGCGGCGUGCCUAAUACAUGCAAGUCGAACGCUUCUUUCCUUCCGAGUGCUUGCACUCAAUUGGAAAGAGGAGUGGCGGACGGGUGAGUAACACGUGGGUAACCUACCCAUCAGAGGGGGAUAACACUUGGAAACAGGUGCUAAUACCGCAUAACAGUUUAUGCCGCAUGGCAUAAGAGUGAAAGGCGCUUUCGGGUGUCGCUGAUGGAUGGACCCGCGGUGCAUUAGCUAGUUGGUGAGGUAACGGCUCACCAAGGCCACGAUGCAUAGCCGACCUGAGAGGGUGAUCGGCCACACUGGGACUGAGACACGGCCCAGACUCCUACGGGAGGCAGCAGUAGGGAAUCUUCGGCAAUGGACGAAAGUCUGACCGAGCAACGCCGCGUGAGUGAAGAAGGUUUUCGGAUCGUAAAACUCUGUUGUUAGAGAAGAACAAGGACGUUAGUAACUGAACGUCCCCUGACGGUAUCUAAUCAGAAAGCCACGGCUAACUACGUG